UAUUGAUUUUUAUUAUUUUUUUAUAAUUAAAUUAUUUAUAAUGUUUUAGUAUUAUUUUAGAAUUAAUUUUUUUUAUUUAGUACUGUAGAGGAAUAAAUAUUUUUAAUUUUAAAAGUAGUUUCAUAUGUACCUUUUGUAUUAGGGUUAUUUUAUUUAUUUUAAUUUAUAAUAUUUUCCCGAAGGAAAAUGAUUUAUUUAUAAAUGUUAUUUAUUGUUUUAUAACUAUUAAUAAUUUAUAAGUAGUAAUGAAAUGUUAUUCGUUUUUUCUGUUAUCUGGUUUCUCAAGAUUAAGUUUAAUUUUUUAUUAUUUAGUUUAGUUUAAAAUUUUUUUUUUAUUAAUAUUUUAUUAAUAUUUUAUAAGGGAUUAUCUUUAUAUUAUUUGUAAUAAUUUUUUUUUUAUUAAUUUUUUUAGGUUUAGAAUUAGCUUUAAUUAUGAGUUUGUAAUUAUUUAUUUUAGUAUUUUUUUUAUUUAAUUGUAUUUUAUUUUUUAUUGGGAUUUUUAAAUUAAUUUUUUUUUAUUAAUUAAUGAUUAAAUUAGUAUAUUUAAAAUUAUUUUUAUAGUAAUUCGGCAAUUAUUUUUUCCACCUGUUUAUCAAAAACAUGUUUUUUAGUUUUUAUUAAAAAUUUAAUCUGCCCAAUGAUAUUUUAAUGGCCGCAGUAAUUUGACUGUGCGAAGGUAGCAUAAUAAUUAGUCUUUUAAUUGAAGUCUUGAAUGAAUGAUUGGAUGAGAAAAAUUCUUUCUUUAUUGAUUUGAUUGAAUUUGAUUUUUAAGUGAAAAAGCUUAAAUUUUUCUGUGGGACGAUAAGACCCUAUAGAUCUUUAAAGUUUUUAUUUGUUUAUAUUUUUGGUUUAAAUGAAAAUUGUAUAUUGAUAUUAAUUUUUUUGUUGGGGUGAUAGAUUAAUAAAUUUAACUUUUUCUUUUUUAUUCAUUAAUUUAUGUUUAUAUGAUCUUAUAUUAUGGAUUAUAAGAUUAAGUUACCUUAGGGAUAACAGCGUAAUUUAUUUGGAGAGUUCAUAUUAAUAAAUAAGUUUGCGACCUCGAUGUUGGAUUAAGAUUAGAAUAAGGGGUAGGUUUUUUAUUUCUAGGUCUGUUCGACCUUUAAAUUCUUACAUGAUCUGAGUUCAGACCGGUGUGAGCCAGGUUGGUUUCUAUCUUCAGAUUUAUAAUUAGUUAUUUUAGUACGAAAGGACCAAUAUAAUUGACUUAACAGUUUUGUUAAAUGAUUAUUUAAUA
rnacentral:rRNA from 1 species